rnacentral:lncRNA from 1 species
AACUCUUGUGUUGGAUCUGCCUAUGGGGGCAUUGUGACAUAUUUCUGCACUGAUCACCUAGGUGAUGGGACACUUGUCUAGGCUCUGUGUAUGGGGGCUUUGUGACAUAUCUCUGCACUGAACACCCAGGUGAUGGACUCUUGUCUUAGAUCUGCCUACAUGGACAUUGUCACACAUCUCUGAACUGAUCAACCAAGUGAUGAAACUCUUGUCUAGGCUCUGCCUACGGGGCUUUGUGACACAUCUCUGCACUGUUCACCCUGGUGAGGGAACUCUUGUCUACGCUCUGCCUACAGGAGGCUUUAUGACUUAUACCUGCACUGAUAACCUAUGUUAUGUUACACUUCUCUAGGCUCUGUCUACACGGGAAUUCUCACUUAUCUCUACACUGAUCACCUAAGUGAUGUAACCCUUGUCUAAGUUCAGCCUACUGGGGAUUUCUGACAUACCUAUGCACUGAUCACCGAGGUGAUGUAAAUCAUUUCCAGGCUUCUUGUACAGGGGACAUUGUGAUAUAUCUCUGCACUGAUCACGCAAAUGAUGCAAAUCUUCUCUAGGCUCCACAGGGAGGGGACAUUGUGCCAUAUUUCUGAACUGCUCAUCCAGGAUAUGUAACUAUUCUCCAGGCUUUGACUAACGAGCGUCGGAAGGUGUUGGGAGAGCCUCAACAGGAAUUUCAGGGACAGAAAAGGGCACAGAGAGGCCAGCGGGCUCCCUUGCACGUCAGCCGGAGUGCGCAAUGAGCGCAGGUCUAGCCAGGAGGCCGGCAAGGAGAGCUAGAGGUCUG